UUUCCUUUUUGCAGUGCAGUACUUACCUUUCUUGUGUCAACAUGUGUAUCUUUCUCGUGGUUCUUUAAUGUAUUAGCCACUGUGCAUUAAGACUGAAGCUAAGAAUGAUGGAAACAUUUUAAUUUUUUGUUUAACGCUCAAAUUGAAUUUUGUGUGCAAGUUGUAUUCCUCUCGUCAGCAUUGGUUGCAUAGAACAUCACUCUCACAGCAUGCGUUGAUUCGAUUCAACAUUACUAACUGUUUGAUGCCAAAGUUAGUUGGAACUCUAACUCAAACACUGGUUCUUUUCCAGUUUCCUCACAAAAUUGGAAGCUGCUGGAGUAAUCUAUCUAAGUGUCCAUCCCCACUUGAUUCAUUUCGUGCCAGCUGGUGAAAGGCGUGACGAAUUCAAAUUUAGCUGCUGACUGCUGUCUGCAAGCAAGCAAUCCAAUUGGCUGUCGCUAGGUGGCGCGAGUGUGUUCAGGCGACCAAAUUCGGCCAUUUUGUUCCUUGACGCAGUCGAAGUGGGAUGCCGGUCGUGACGUUUCGCAUGAUGAAAAUGCAAAGAUGAUUUCAAUGCCACUUUGUCAAAUCAUCUAACCCGGACUUAGUGCCUGUUCAUUUUGCCGAAAUGUCGUGCCUCGUGUAUCUUGCUGCCUGUACCCAGUCGAGUCGUACGUCUCGUCCCAUGCAAAAGCCAAAAGUCCACUGUUUGUUUGCUUGUUGCAGCCAGAUGCUGAAAGGUGGGAUGACGUCUAAUUGAACCAUCAUAUGCAGCGUGUUGUUGCAGUGUUAUCCAGAAGUAGCUGUUCAGUGUGGCAGUAUCCCGAAGUAGCCUGAAACAGCCUGAAGCCUGAAGUUGCCAGUGAUAUCUGGGUUGCUGACUUGGAAAUUUUUCUCUGUUCUCAUUUGUGUCUUUUGCUCUGCCAGUGGUAUCAUGUGUUGCAGACUUUAAAUCUUUCUAUCUGUUCUUAUUAGUGCGUUUUUUUUUCUCUACCACUGAUUUCCUGUGUUGCUGUUUUGAAAUCGUUUCAUCUGUCGUCUUUGGCGUUUUUACUUGUGCACAUGUGCAGUAUACGAUUGAGGCAACCUGUCCUAUGACAGGUUUGACUAAGUCGACAACUGCUAGAUUAAAUUCCGGCUUUCUGCACCAACAAAAUAAUAACGGCACAUGUUAUUAUCGCGGUUGGGAAAGUCACAGGCCCCCCCCUCCCUGGGGGCCAUAAAAUAUACACGUGGUUAUGUUUAUAAUAAAUAUUUAAUAAA